rnacentral:rRNA from 1 species
AGAGUUUGAUCCUGGCUCAGAUUGAACGCUGGCGGAAUGCUUUACACAUGCAAGUCGAACGGUAGAGGGGGCAACCCCUUGAGAGUGGCGAACGGGUGAGUAAUAUAUCGGAACGUGCCCAGUCGUGGGGGAUAACGUAGUGAAAAUUACGCUAAUACCGCAUACGAUCUAAGGAUGAAAGCGGGGGAUCGCAAGACCUCGCGCGAUUGGAGCGGCCGAUAUCAGAUUAGGUAGUUGGUAGGGUAAAGGCCUACCAAGCCAACGAUCUGUAGCUGGUCUGAGAGGACGACCAGCCACACUGGAACUGAGACACGGUCCAGACUCCUACGGGAGGCAGCAGUGGGGAAUUUUGGACAAUGGGCGAAAGCCUGAUCCAGCCAUUCCGCGUGCAGGAUGAAGGCCCUCGGGUUGUAAACUGCUUUUGUACAGAACGAAAAGGUCUCUAUUAAUACUAGGGGCUCAUGACGGUACUGUAAGAAUAAGCACCGGCUAACUACGUGCCAGCAGCCGCGGUAAUACGUAGGGUGCAAGCGUUAAUCGGAAUUACUGGGCGUAAAGCGUGCGCAGGCGGUUAUAUAAGUCAGAUGUGAAAUCCCCGGGCUCAACCUGGGAACUGCAUUUGAGACUGUAUAGCUAGAGUACGGUAGAGGGGGAUGGAAUUCCGCGUGUAGCAGUGAAAUGCGUAGAUAUGCGGAGGAACACCGAUGGCGAAGGCAAUCCCCUGGACCUGUACUGACGCUCAUGCACGAAAGCGUGGGGAGCAAACAGGAUUAGAUACCCCUGUAGUCCACGCUGUAAACG